CAGUCGCCGCGGGAAAACGUAGGUGGCAAGCGUUGUCCGGAAUUAUUGGGCGUAAAGCGCGCGCAGGUGGUUUAAUAAGUCUGAUGUGAAAGCCCACGGCUCAACCGUGGAGGGUCAUUGGAAACUGUUAAACUUGAGUGCAGGAGAGAAAAGUGGAAUUCCUAGUGUAGCGGUGAAAUGCGUAGAGAUUAGGAGGAACACCAGUGGCGAAGGCGGCUUUUUGGCCUGUAACUGACACUGAGGCGCGAAAGCGUGGGGAGCAAACAGGAUUAGAUACCCGCGUAGUCCCUGUCUCUUAUCC
rnacentral:rRNA from 1 species